CUAUAAACUGCAACGCAUUGAUCCACUGAACCAUUUGGCAGCUGGGGCGUUGACGCUUGAACGAACUCAAAGGGAAAUGCAGGCGAUGCUAUCGCUUUCCAUUAUUCUGACCGUCUCUCGGGUCACUGACAGCACCGCUCACUCUUACACGCACUUGGCGCUGGGCUUAAAUGUCAUUGCUCUCCCCCAGCUGAUGAGGCCAAAUGCGGGGCCACAUGUCUGAGACGAGAGCGGUGCGUUCAGUGGAAGGGACUGUGCAUAGAUCAAUAACCUGAGGGAGCGAGGGAAGAAGAAGAAACUGUGUUAGACAGAAGGGGCGGAUGGAGGUUGAGUGUGAUGCAUUCAAUGACCUUUACUCCGUUUGGGACCUCAUCUGUAAAAGGUAUCUGGAGGCUGUCACAGUGCGUCAACAUUGUGUUUCGGCUGCAGAGAACUCAGGCACCAUCCUGCCAGCAGUGGAGCUACCGCAGGAUUCGGCAGAUGAUCUAAACAGAAAACAUCUUCGCCGAGAACACGUCCUUUUGUUUUACACGUUGUCCAAACAUUUCCCGCACAGGCCAUUUGAGUGCCACCGCUCUGCCGUAAACACCCAGAUGAUGAUUUAAGUUGAGACGCGGCGCUCGACGGGACCAGACUCAUCCAUCCGUCCGUCCAUUCAUCGUCACCGAGCUGCCGGUCCUUACUUCUGGGAACGGCGAGGGCGCCCCGUCUGCUUUCUGUGACAGCGGCUGAUUCAUUCCAGACAAUGUUUACCGUCCACGGUGACUCUCGUAUUGUUAGCCAGACUCCUGCACAGUUUGAGAGCUCAAACCUUUAAAUGGCGAAACCCAAGACUCAUCGAGACACAUGUUUUGUCAUUUGGUCCAGCCUCUAUCACGUCUCAGGUGACGUAUCCGCUGCACAAAGAACACUUCUUACUUCAAGUUUACUAAACUAAACCUGCACUUUUGUCAUUUCCCCCCCAAGAAGUGUUUGGAUAAAUUGACGCCAGAAGAAACUAAACAGCGGUCUGCUUUUAAAGUGACGUUAGAUUCACUGUCACUGACGGUACAUCAGAGCGUUUAACGAUUCCCUGCAACUGCAGCACACGGCUUUAAAAGUGCAAACAGAAACCCUCAAUUUGAACUCUCCUAUGGCCAAUAAAAUCCAUUUUACCCAAUCAACAUUAUGUGACACGAUAACGCUUGUCAAAAAAAGCUCUUUAAAGGGUGCAUUAGAGGCCCAUUCUGCUCAGUUUACUUGUUGGUUACACGUAUUCAGCCGAGGGCAGAUCUGUCUGUCUGAGGUAAUAGAGCAGCAGGAAUGGUUUUGUGUAUAUAUGUUUGCACGGCUUAUCUGUCAGCGAUACGACAGGCGGGCUUUUAACUCGGUAAGAGGAGAGAUCAUCAUAAAAAUCCACCCUGCCUUCCAGCUAAUUGUUUCAAAAAGAAGAAGUCAUUUGAAGACUUAAGCAGCGGCUUAAAUUAAAUUUCUAUUUUUAUACUGUAUGACUUUAUAAUCUUAGAUCCACAGACGGAUCUCUUGACUUUGUCAAAGUCUGGAUUAAAGCUGAGUGAUGACUCUCGCAUUAAGGGGCUCUAAACGUCAUUUAUUCUUUGUGGCUCACUGUCCAAAUAAAGUUUGUGUGCACGGCGGUGACUACACAGCUGGUUCGUAAAACGGUGCCUGCUUUUUGCCUGUGUGUCUGGAGGCAGAUCCAUCUGAAGCUUUAUUUCCCCCAGGCGCUCUCUGCUCCACUCAACAACACGUGGAGCUAAUCGAUACUGAUGCAUGCACUCCGCGAGUCCUCCUGGAAAAACAGCUGCGAGAGUCAGAACUCGGUGUAUCCGUCUCUGGAAAUAAAUAAUGGCAUGCUCACGUGGCCUUGCAACAAACAUGACCGAUGCGUAUAUCCUGUGUGUUAAAUGUGCGUCGAACCUCUGGCGAACUCGGCCGAGAUGUUUUAAUAGAGUGAUUUUGAAGAGCAGCAGCAGACAGAGCUUUAAUUUCUGGAUUAGAAACCAAUAUUCAAGCCUGUAAUAAUCCAAAACCACAACGAGGGAAAGAAAAACAUGAAAUAUUGCUUUGACCCGAGAGUGACAUUUUACCCAAGAGUGGUUUUCCUAUUUAUUCUUUUUGCCGCUGAGAGCAAGUGGAAAGGAAACAUGAUUUAGUGCAACGCUGGGAUGUGAAUUACUUUUCAUAGCGGCUUACAAAGGGGGAGUAACAGCAGUGCGGGGAGGUCAAUCCAACAUGGUGCAGCCUCGAGGGAGAGUUCAAGAGUCGGGGGCCGGGUGGAGCAUCGAGCGGCUCGCUGCUGGGAGGAGAGAGCUAAUCAGUGGGCAGUAAGAGAGCAGGUGAUGGGACUUCACAGACGUAAACAUUGCUUAGAAAUGAGCUUGUGGAGCACCGGAUAAAAGCCGCUGCUGGGAACAAUCUGCUUUGUCCGCACAGCGUGUAAAGUGAAGAAACGGAGCAUUACUUAUUCAUGCCGCUUUCCCAACAAAUUGUCGAAUUACACAGAAGACUAGACACACAAAUCUAUCCAACAUUGUUUAUUCAGAGGUUUUUUUUUGUUUUUUGGACUUGACAGAUAAAGAGAUGAGACUGGAGUACAGUUUGAAAUGCUUCUCUCAACAACAAUUAGAAACACGCCGACUGGCACAGCACUGAAACUCAGAGACAACGUUUGACGCGAGUCAUGUGAUCUGCAGGAGGCGUGGACGGGAUUUAAAACCGUAGAGCACAACAUUGUGAGCGAUUUUUAAAAAUCAUUCAACAGUCCAGACACCUUUUUUUUUUUAUUAAGAGAAUUUCCUGUGGAUUCAAUAAUUGAUUUCUUGCUGGUGAUUAAUAGUUUUAACUAAUUAAGCACAUGCCCUAAAAAAUCCAUGGAAAGAAGACGAGCCACAGUUCUGCCAACUUUUAUUUUUUAAGGCUAAAGUGUACGGACUUGAAGUUAGGCCUUUAACUGCGUAUCUACCACCAUGUUUCUCUUUUGGAUCAGGCUCAACAGCUAAAGCAAGAGACGGAUCUGUAAGCACGUUUUUCACACGGCUAGUUACCAUUAAUCCAGGCAGCCACAGUGCACAGCUGUCAGCGACAGCAUUAACACGACUUUUAGCCGUCGAUGAAUCAAUAGUACACAGAGCAGAGGCACCUGACACGCUCUACAAUAAAUCCUACUUUCAUCAAAGUGUUUGUCUCAACUGUGUCGAUUCAUCUUUUUUUGGUAUUUCGGAGGUUGUACUUCUAUUUCGUGUUUCUAUUUUUAGCCUCCUCUCGCUGAUAUAAACACCGUGGACAAUAUAUUAAGACGUACUUACUCAAAAUAAUUCAAUAAAACUCUGCGGCGGCCUAAAAAAGGCGACCAUAAAAAGCGAAUCAACAUCUCUUAAAAGCAGUUCGGACAAACAUUGAACAUUACAACCUUCCUGAAUGUGGCGUUUUAUUGCAGGGCUGUCGUAUUAGACCGUUUAAUUGUACCUAUGUCUACCUGAUACACUGGCACUAAGCGUAGCUCAUAUAAACAUGGCAAACUUUUACUGAUGAUUUCGAAGCAUCCUCAGUCCAACCUGUAGAACAUAAGAAGAACUAACGAAAGACACAAAUAUGGACUGUUACAUGAAAAGCAAGCCAGAGGACUACUGCAGCAGCAUGAGGAGGGGGAGGCAUUUUAAAAGACUAAAACUCUUUUCUCACUUCCAACUGAUACAGUAUGCUUUAGUUAACAGUAACAUGGCACGAUUAAAUCACAGGGUGAAAUACUACUGUGUCAACCAGGAAUGGUUAUGAAGCUAUUAUUACUGUGAAGUUCACGUCCGUCUCAACCGUCUCACCAGACCUGAGUUUAAAUUCUUACAAAGGGUUGUCAAAGUGUCGCGACUCAUUUCGUCCGACAGCCUCGAAAAUGUGACCAACUGCGAGAUGAAACAUAGCAAAGCUCGUGAGCGUUGGACAGCGAAACACGUCUUCAAACAGCAUGUGUGAAAUUUAACCACAGACUUUCUUGUUCUUGUUCUCAUUCGUAGUCUACAAUCCAGAUAUGUCACGUUUGUUUCCUGUGAGACGUUUUCAAUCGUUCUGCUCUGAAAAAUAACCAAAUGAUUACAAGUAAACAAGGGAAUUCGAUUUUUUUCUCAAUGUGGUGUUUUAAAAAAAAGAAAAAAACUUUUUAUGCGAUGCAGACUUCUGAAAUUAUUUUUUUACGUGUUGGAACACUAAGAGUUGACUCUUUAGCGCCCUGAAAUGGGAGGACCAUGCCGCUGAAAUAACAGAUUCCCAACUAUGAAAAUGUGUCAGCGUCCAAACUGUUUUUGAGUGUGUCGUGGUUCCUUCUCAUGCAGUUGCUGGUUGAGACUUUGCUUUUGUUUGCGCCCCGUAAUACAUUCUGUUAUCAGUCCUUGUGUCUCGACGUGUCGGCGCUCUCCGCCGGGAAAACUCAGGUCACUUUAUUUUUUUUCCUAGUGACAACCCUCCGAUAUCAGAUACCUACAGACAAAUAAAACUUUAGUUUUUUUUCCCCCACAGACAUGUAUAUAUAUUUUUUAUAAAAUAAAUCUUAUAUUUCCAAGUAUACAAUAAUAAAAUGAUGCACUCUGCAGAAAAAAAGGUAACAGGAAACUCCAUAUAUACACAUAGUAUAUUUAUACUAUUUUGGCAGACAAGAACAUGGACAAAGUUCAGUAUUGUAAACAGCUCUUUACUCUCGUGACGUUUUCAUCCGUCUUUCCUCGGCUCCUUCCGCUCGCUCCUCGCUCGCUCUGUCCUGUUACAUUCAUAACUCCAGAAAAAUUGUGCUUUAAGAAAUCUCUUACAACAACCUGACGUCUCGCUCUUUUUUUAAAUUUUUUGUCUUCUCGGGUAACACCCCGGUCUGCUGAGUAGAAGUGCACUGUCUCUGAACAGUAGGUCAAUGUCUUAAUCGGUCACGUGGCUGGUAGUUCACUCAGCUCCAGAGUCUGGGUCAGAGGAGUGAAGGGAGGGCAACAAACUAA